rnacentral:rRNA from 1 species
GAUGAACGCUGGCGGCGUGCCUAAUACAUGCAAGUCGAGCGAACAGAUAAGGAGCUUGCUCCUUUGACGUUAGCGGCGGACGGGUGAGUAACACGUGGGUAACCUACCUAUAAGACUGGAAUAACUCCGGGAAACCGGGGCUAAUGCCGGAUAACAUUUAGAACCGCAUGGUUCUAAAGUGAAAGAUGGUUUUGCUAUCACUUAUAGAUGGACCCGCGCCGUAUUAGCUAGUUGGUAAGGUAACGGCUUACCAAGGCAACGAUACGUAGCCGACCUGAGAGGGUGAUCGGCCACACUGGAACUGAGACGCGGUCCAGACUCCUACGGGAGGCAGCAGUAGGGAAUCUUCCGCAAUGGGCGAAAGCCUGACGGAGCAACGCCGCGUGAGUGAUGAAGGUCUUCGGAUCGUAAAACUCUGUUAUGAGGGAAGAACAAAUGUGUAAGUAACUGUGCACGUCUUGACGGUACCUAAUCAGAAAGCCACGGCUAACUACGUG